rnacentral:rRNA from 1 species
AUUGAACGCUGGCGGCAUGCCUUACACAUGCAAGUCGAACGGCAACACGCCUGCUUGCACCUACUGGCGGGUGGCGGACGGGUAAUUAAUCCAUCGGUACCUGUCCUGUGGUGGUGGCUAGCCCAACGAAUACCUAAUUCCUCCCACGUACUAUCUACGAAUGCGAGCGAGGGACCUUCGGCCCUCGCUCUGUACGGUUGGCCGAUGGCUGAUUAGCUAGUUGGUGGGGUAAAGGCCUACCAAGGCAACGAUCAGUAGCUGGUCUGAGAGGACGACCAGCCACACUGGGACUGAGACACGGCCCAGACUCCUACGGGAGGCAGCAGUGGGGAAUUUUGGACAAUGGGCGAAAGCCUGAUCCAGCAAUGCCGCGUGUGUGAAGAAGGCCUUCGGGUUGUAAAGUACUUUUGUACGGAAAGAAACCGUUGGGCCUAAUACGGGCGGGGAAUGACGGUACCGUAAGAAUAAGCACCGGCUAACUACGUG